CCGCUUCGAAUGUUAUCACUCGAUUGAAUGGGCGUUAUCAGUGGUUAUCAGCCCCAUAGAUAUGGGUCAGAAGGGCCCUACUGCACCUACUGGUAGGUUUAGAAGGCCGUUAUCAUCCAUUCACAUGGUUAAUCACCGAUACUAAUAGAAGAGAAGACUCCAGAUCCUGUCCAACAGGAAUCCAGCUCACCGCUGACCGGAGGUCUGCUGGUUAACGGGAUAUUUUCAGCAUCACUUACCAGUUGUGUCUUGUGUGAAAUGGGGAAAAACAGUAAAGAGCGCAUGCUUCAGGAGUGUCACGAUUAUGGUGGUGAGGAAGUGUAUUGCUGGGCGUCCAAAGGUUUCUUACCUUAGUCAAGGUUCUCCCCAGCCCAGCCCCAAACAGACGGACCCUUCGGACCCUUCCACUAUUACACCUCAACAGGCUGAACCUGAUGAUGUGGCAUUGAGCAGUAGUACAUUUUCUGAGACUGCAUACAGUAAGGCAAAGAAGAGAGAGCUUUAUGCCUGGGAUGCAGUAAAGGAUGACAUGCUAAAGGUGUCCUUUGAAUGUUCGGCACCAAUCACUACCCAGUGUGUUGUUUGCCUAGAACAUGCUGAUUAUAGGGUGCUUGGAGUGCAGCACCACUGCAGUCUUUUGUGAGGCUUGUCUGAAGAGGACUCACAGAAAUUCACUGCACCUUCGUGAUAAGUGGAAUAAUACCUACUAUGAGCCAUCCUCCUUGGGGUUAUUCCUAUAUUUACCUGAAGGCCAUGGCACCCAUGCUGUGUACAUGAAGGACAUGAAGGUCAUUGUCAGCACAGGACGGCUCUGCACCGUCACUCUCAAUAUGUGUACGUGUGAACCGGAAGCCUGCACUCUGCUCAGGUAUGGGCUCUGGCCAGCAACAGUCGACAAGCCCCACACAGUCUUUUCCAACCCUCUGCUAGAGCUUGGAGUGUCAGGUUUCUGUUGAGGGUUUUUGCAACACCCUGCGCUGGAAAAACAACCUCACACUUGCAGAGGUAAGUCUGAAGUCCUGUCUGUGAAGUGAACAUUUCAGUUACUUUCCUGGAAGACUGACAAGUCCAAAUGGAUGUGAAAAUUACACCCUUCCAUAAUUGUGCUCAUCAUUAAUUAUCACAACAAAAUGUAAACAUUGAAGAUGAACAUGGAACCAUAUUGAAUUAUACAACUGCAUGCAAAAAAACUCUGUGUAAACCACCUUCACCUUGGCCUUAUGUAGGAGAUCUGAGUAUAUGAAAGAGUAAUGUUUUCUCUUACUGCUGCUUAUACCGUAGGUUAAUACACUCUACAGAGCCCUGGUGGGAGAGUCAAUAUCCCAGUUUAGGCAUCACCACUUCCGACAAAGAAGUUCUAGUUUCAGGCCAGUUCCUGUUUGAUUAACCAUAAUUGCAGUUUCCAUGAACUGAUGACAUUGAAUUGAUAUAUGCAAAAUCAGUUAAUUAUUGUAUAAAGUAUUAUAAUAAAAUAGUAAGUGUAUCAACCUAGUGCUCUGCAUUUCUGAAGGCUGUUUGAGGAUGAAAGUGGGACCUUGUGUAUCUUUCAGCAUUUGUUUUAAGAAUUUGUCAAUCAGUUAUUUAUUCCAUGGGUGUUUCUGACCUAAACUCUUUUUUUGUAGUACCAGAUACAAAACCAGGAUUACUCUGUUUAUUUCCCAGGCGGAUGGAGAUAUGAUAGUGACAUUGGAUGCCAACUUUGGCCU